UACGUAGGGGGCAAGCGUUGUCCGGAAUCAUUGGGCGUAAAGAGCUCGUAGGCGGUCUGUUGCGUCCGCUGUGAAAACCCGGGGCUUAACCCUGGGCUGGCAGUGGAUACGGACAGACUAGAGGUAGGUAGGGGAGAAUGGAAUUCCCGGUGUAGCGGUGAAAUGCGCAGAUAUCGGGAGGAACACCGGUGGCGAAGGCGGUUCUCUGGGCCUUACCUGACGCUGAGGAGCGAAAGCGUGGGGAGCGAACAGG
rnacentral:rRNA from 1 species